ensembl:lncRNA
GUUGUUCGUCCUGCGUGUUCCCUGUUCCCUCCUGAGUUCCCUGGUUCCUUGCCUUAGCCUUUAGGCAUAAAUAAAGUGCUGUUCUCCCUAAACCGUCUGCGUCUGGGUCCUACCUGCCUGCCUGAAACCUCAACCCUAACAGAAUGAUAGCACCAACAUUGGACCCAGCGGACGCUCAAUUUAGCCGUGAGUUGGAGGAUUUAUUGUGGUUCAUAUUGAAAGCAAUGGAUUUCUGGGAGAACAUUCCCAGCAGAAAGGAGCAGGAGGCUAUCUUGAAACGUACACGCAGGGCUGUCUCGUCAAGGCCAGAGUUGGAGGACGCCUUGCCCGAGUGGGCAGUUGAGCUGCUCAGCCCCACAGUCUUUUGGCCUGAGAGCUACAUGCCUCUGCCACCGGACUUUUGUGACCGGCCUAAGCCUCCACGCUCCUACUCUCAGCCUCUGCCCCCGGUUCCCCGCUACCAGCCUCUGCCUCCGGUUCCCCGCUACCAGCCUCUGCCCCCGGUUCCCCGCUCUCAGCCUCUGCCCCGGUUCCCCGCUCUCAGCCUCUGCCCCCGGUUCCCCGCUACCAGUCUCUGUCCCCGGCCCCCAGCUACCAGCCUCUGUCCCUGGUCCCCCGCUACCAGCCUCGGCCCCCGGUUCCCAGCUACCAGCCUCGGCCCCCGGUUCCCAGCUACCAGCCUCGGCCCCCGGUUCCUAGCUACCAGCCUCUGCCCCCGGUCCCUAGCUACCAGCCUCCUCCCUUGCGGACAAUCAGAGUGGGGGUGGUGAGUUUGGGGUACGACCCGGUUCCUCCUGGCAAUCCAGCUCCCGCACUGACUCCGGUCCCCGAGCCCUGUCCGGUUCCUGAGCCCACUCCUCGCCUGCCUGAGGAGGUCCGCCCUCUGCUCCUGCCGGAGGGGGCCCGCCCUCCAGACCGCCCAGGGGAGGCACGCCCUCCGCUCCUGCCUGUGGGAGUCCUCCUCCACUCCUUCCCGAGGGGGUUUCCUCUUCAAGGCCUUCCAGAGGGGUCCCGCCUUCCAAACCUUUUGGAAGGGGCACGCCCUCUUCCUCCAGAGGGGACCAGCCCUCUACCUUGCCUUCCUGAGGGGUCCCGCCUUCCAGAGGGGGUCCGCCCUCUACCUCGCCUACCUCCAGAGGGGACCAGCCCUCUACCUUGCCUUCCAGAGGGAGUCCACCCUCUACCUGGCCUUCCUCCAGAGGGAACCCGCCCUCUACCUGGCCUUCCUACAGAGGGAACCCGCCCUCUACCUGGCCUUCCUACAGAGGGGACCCGCCCUCUACCUGGCCUUCCUCCUGAGGGGACCCGCCCUCUACCUGGCCUUCCUCCAGAGGGGACCCGCCCUCUUCCUGGCCUUCCACCAGAGGGGACCCACCCUCUACCUGGUCUUCCUCCAGAGGGGGUCCGCCCUCUACCUCUCCUUCCUCCAGAGGGGACCCGCCCUCCACCUCGCCAUCCUCCUGAGGGGACCCGCCCUCUACCUCGCCUUCGCCGGCCUCCUGAAGGUUUCCGCCUUCGCCACUGCUGGCAUUCAGAGGGGUUUCCUUGCUGCUGCAGGCCUCCUGAGGGACUGAGCCCUCAUCGUCCUGGCCGCCGGCCUCCUGAAGGGUUCCGCCUUCACUCUGCCUCUGCUUGCCCCCCAGGCCGUCCGCCUGAGGCUCCCUGCCAUGCCCUGGGGCAGUUUUCUGGCCGCCCGCCUGACGUCCCUCCGCUCUGCCCCAGUCCAUUAUUUUUUUAUUUGAUCAUUGUGGUUGUUCGUCCUGCGUGUUCCCUGUUCCCUGUUGUCACCUGAGUUCCCUGGUCCCUUGCCUUAGCCUUUAGGCAUAAAUAAAGUGCUGUUCUCCCUAAACCGUCUG